CCAAUGGUCACUAGGUGGCGCCCUAAAAGAACGAAAAAUUUAUUGCUUCCGGUAUUCUCAUUCUCAUGCUUUUCACAAUCUUGCCGGUAUUCCAUUUCGAAAGGAGCUUUUUACAUCAACCAUCAGACCAAUAUUAAUAUUUGCUGAAUGUAAUAAUUGUUUAAGGUAAGGCCUAACUGUUUUUGUUCAAAUCUUAUUAAUACACGUGAGUUUUCUACUGGUUUUUGCGUUUGGAAAAUAGUCCUGUUAAACGAUGAGGUCGGAAAGACGGACACUGCCAUUUUUAUUGCAAAAUGUAUUAAACAGCAUCAAGCUUGCGGGCUACUUCAUACCAAAUUAUACUUAUUAAUGUAUAUUAAUUAUAAUUUAUCUAAAUGUAUGGAUAUAAAUCAGUCGGUCGUCGGCGACUAGGUUUCUACGAAAAAUACAGGUUUUAGGCAACUCGAGUUACCCCCCUUAUACUAUAGACUUUUUUGGAUAUGAUAUGAUAGUGCAGUGCAGCAUUGAUAAUUUUUUUUGAAAUAGGAACAAAGUUAAACAUGUGAAAUAAAAGUAGUGUCUAUGUUAUUUAUAUGAACCCUAUUGUUGAAAAGAUGUCUUUCUCAAAAUUGUACAAUUAUACUCAUAAGAUAAAGUGGUUACAUCAGCUUUUUGUCAACAAGUUUUAUAUAAAAGUGGAGGGUCAUUGAAUAUUUCAACUAAGGCCUGCUUAUUAUUUAUUUCUUAAUUAACUGCUUUGUUAUUAUAAUCCCUAUAUAAUCAAAUGUUUGUUAUUAUAAUCCCUAUGUAAUCAAUGGGUCAUUAUAAUAAUUGGUACACAAUGUACAUAGCCAAGAGGCAGGAUUACUUUGAUCAAUGUGUUAAUGAUAAAUGGUCUUUAUAUUUAAUAAGGGUAUCACAACUUAAGUAAUCUUCUAUGAGGUCCUCUUAAAAGUUGAUUAUCUAUCUACUGUGCAACCAAAUGGUAAUAAUUAUUUUGAUAGUGAUUGGUGUCUCUUUUUUAAGUAAUUUAAUGCAACAAUGCUCUAAUUUGACAUUGAAUAGCAGCCUACACUUGUUUCUUUGUUGUAGGAGUUACUUGUAUUAUAUAGUGAUUAGUUGAUAUUUUGAUACAGAAGACAACCACCUUCUUAUUUUGUUUUCAAAUUUGGUAUAAUUGUUCAGAUUUAAAUGGUGAACAUGUAAUUAAAGAGCCAGUCAAGAGGAGUUUAACAGUUUUUUCCUAUUGAUUUGCUGAUAACAGAGGUCUAUCGAAGAAAGAUUUUGGUGUUUUCUUCAUUUUGAUAGAGGGUGUUUAAAUUGAGCCAGACAAUUACAUUUUGAAGCUCUAGUACAGCUAUUUGACAGACAUAUUAGCUACUGGGACAGUAUUGUACCAGAAAACACAGGAGAAGUAUACUGUUUGCAACUGUCAGAAAUAUUGGAAGAUAUAGAUGAUGGAACAUUUAGUUUUGAUGAUAAUAAACAGUCUUAAAAUUUAAAGCUUUGAUUAUUUUGAAACAGACUAUAACAGUGUUUGGUAAGUAAUGCAGUUAGAGUUACCUCUCUUUACUUACAAAAUUUGUAUAAAUUAGCUGGAGUUACUUCCCAUUACAUGACAAAGUUGAUCAACGGUUUUAUUUUUGAGUCACUUUUAAUCACCAAAUAGUAUACACCAAUGAAAAUCAGUGUUACAUUUGAGAAAUAUAAGCACUUAGCCAUUUAUAUACCUGGUUUUAAUAAUCAUUUGGGUAACUUUAAAUUUUAACUGGAA